AACUCAUACUGUGAAGACAAAGG
rnacentral:piRNA from 1 species